UGCGUCACCGAGGGGAGUCCCGCCAAGGGGCUGAGAGACUGAUGGGCGGCGCCGCUGUGGGCGCCGCCGGUGCAGUGACCCUUUGAACCUGAUCCGGAUCAUGCCGGCGCAGGGACGGACCGAUUCCAUCGC
rnacentral:ncRNA from 2 species